rnacentral:rRNA from 1 species
GGGUCAGUAGGUUGGUCGUGCCACCGGUACGUACUGGUCUCACUGAUUCCUCCUUCCUGAAGAACCGUAAUGCCAUUAAUUUGGUGUUGCGGGGAAACAGGACUGUUACUUUGAAAAAUUUAGAGUGUUUAAAGCAAGCUAACGCUUGAAUACAUUAGCAUGGAAUAAUGAAAUAGGACGAUCGAUCCUAUUUUGUUGGUUUCUGGGAUUGACGUA